CGGAAACAGCUUUGCAGCCAAAGGCUGGCUCUACUGGUUUGUCACAAAUGUCGUCAAGCAAAUUGGCAAAAAACAACGACCGGAAAUGUCGCAAAAAACAGUAACUUCACCGUGAACACGUGACAAGGAAAAACUUCCGCACGCAGUUGAUGUUAAACUAGAGCGAAGGGGACCGAGCUGUUCACAGCAUGCUCGCUGUUGCUGUAAAAUUGAGGCGCAACGUCACGAUGGACGCUUUGACUGGCAGCCGCUGUCACGGAGAAACUUGCGUACCUCCGUUCGGGAAUCGCAGAUGGAGUCGGGGCGCUCAGAGGAAGUCCAGCGGUUACUUUUCAUAUAACCACGGCCGCCUGUUUCAGACUGCCAGCGUGAGGUGGUCUAAUCCGUAAAUGAACGGCUUUUGCUGGCUGUCGGAAAAAGCUUGAGUGUUCAUGAAGUCAGUGCUGUAGUUCAAACACGAGCUCUGCUGCUGGAUGUUCAUACCUGCAGCAGGUAGCUAAUGAAGCGGGUUGUAUUAGGUACCCGCAUGCGUAGAACGAUCAGUUUCGCUACCAUCGAUUCGCCGAAAGAAAGUGUUUUUUUUUCCAGUGCUCAUCAACACUGUGUCACACGGUGAAAGUCAAAGAUGGCCUCAGCUGCUGAUACAACUCCCGUUUUUCCCAGGAAGUCUGAAGACUGAGUUCCUCACACAAGCUGAAGCCCUGAGUGUGAAACUGUCGUAGACUGAGCACUUCCAAAAGAAAACAGAAGGACUGACGCAGGUCCUGGAAGAGUGUCAAAAAUGCCUCAUCUCCCUCUUCGAGCAGCCCCUGACCUUAGUGACAGUUUAAGGGUGGAUUUCUGUGAAAUGGGAGAUAAAUACAGGACCGAGCACAAGGAGAGAGACAGCAGAAAGAAUUUGAUGAUUUUUUUAAAAAAUCGAUUCAUGAAUUACCGGGAACUCGACCUCCCGGGACUGUUUCCGUGGUUAUCAUUUAAUGGAUGUGUUACAGAACUUGGAACGUGAGAAACUUUGCAGGGAAACACAGGCUUAUCAGGAUGAUAAUAAUGAUCAACACAAAACUUUAAAAUAAGAACUUGAUGUGAUGAAGAGGCAGGUUGAUGAUCGAGAGAAAAAAUGAUCAAACCAGAGGAAGUUUCGUUUGGAGAGGAAACAUAUAAAUGAGGACAGAUCCCGCUUACGUAAAUGGGUGGAAAGAAAAAUGCAAAAGUGCAUCAGUGAAGUGCAGACGAGCUGAAAGUGUCUGCAAUGGAGAAUAAUUUUAAUAAGUGUAAGAGCAAACUGAGAAUGGUCAGAGUCCAGCUGCAGAAAUCUUAUUCUUUAAAGAAACAGCCGGUCCUGGUAGUGUCGAUUUGAAUCAUGAUGAUGUGAUAAAGAGAUUAAUGGAUGGAAUAGGGAAGAAACAUGAAACCUCCUUUUCUUGAGAAUGAGCUGGAAAAAUGACGUUCAUGAUUGGAGGACUUGAAUGCUAACCAGAUGUCAGAUUAUGUUCUAACACAAAGAGCUGGGAAAACAUGCAUACUGGGUGAGAGAGGCCAGUUUAAGAUCAGGGUCCAGCAGAAAACCCAUCAGAGGCACGCCGCAGACUCUACAGAGUCUUCACUGGUAAAGAGACGAUGGAGAGUUGCCUUCUAAAAAGAUGUGCUUGCAGUAAGUGAAAGAACUGACAUCAGAGCUCCACCAACUCCAGGGUAAAAUAUUAUACUGGAUCAUCUGUUAGUUUAAUGAAGCCUUGUCUUUUUUAACAGACGUUCCACGUCAGUCAUCAGCAGAAUGUGUCCUGGACCGUGAACGUGUGUCUCUGCUGCUUUCUGAUAGGCUGGGUUGGGUGUUCCUCCCCUUGUGGGUGGAGCUACACUCCCCUGCUGCUGUCAGAUGCACCUGAGCUUCACGAAGCCCCAUCAGGCUCCUUUGCUCCUCGCCAGAGAGUCAGCAUCCCUUUAUGUUCACUUCCCCCACCUGCGCGUUUGGACUUGCCUGCCUGCUCUCCCAGAAGCCUUGUACUCUGGAAUUUCUCCAGCACCUUACCUCCUCCCAGGAACAGACUCAUUUGGCAAGAACGUCCCUGUGGACCCAGCACCAGUUCCAGACCCUCCUGUGUCUGCUGAUCCAGUUGAUCCAGUGCCUCAGGCUUAUGAUUUUCUAGGUUUUCUUUGAUAAGAAAAAUGUUUUGUAUAGGUCAUUAGUGAGACUGCUGAGCACAGUAUUGUGUUGCUUUUUGUUUUCAUACCUGCGUCUGCUCGCAGCCUCGAUGUUUCGAGUUCACCUUCUAACAAUACCUUAGGAGUGUUGUGGAGUAGUGGAUUUACUUCCUCACGUCAGACAGAUUUUAGUUUUGCCAGCUUCACAGCAGCUCUGGCUUUGUUUAAAAUAAAGACUCUGGAUUUGAACACCUGACUCCUCCGCGUCCGAGUGUUCGGCCUCGAUGGCGUCUGACAAGAACGUUAGAUUGGAAGAAUGUAUGAGAACCUCAGAACAGGAAAAGACCAGCUUUAAGGGAUCUCUGUGGUCACAGGAGCGUCCCUCAGAGUCACACCUCAUCCUGCAUGUCCUCUCUUUAUGCUGAAUGCACUUAUUUAAUACUGGAGUCAGUUUGUAGUAACUGCAAACUUCAAGAUCUUGACCGAGGGGUCCGUGGAGGUACAGUUGUUUGUAUACAGAGAAAAGUGCAGUGGUGAGAGGACACAACCCUGUGGAGCGCCUGUACUGAUAGUCUGGGUGUUUGAGGUGAAUUUUCCCAACCUCACCUGCUGCUCUCUGCCAGUGAGGAAGUUGGUGAUCCACUGGAGGGACCAAGUGGGACUUGGCACGCCGAGUUGGAGUAAUUUGUUAUGUAGUUGUCCUGGGAUAAUUGUAUUCAAAGCUGAACUGAAAUCUAAAAAUAAAAUUCUUACAUAUGUUCC